CAAUAAGCGGAGGAGAAGAAACUAACCAGGAUUCCCUCAGUAACGGCGAGUGAAGAGGGAUGAGCCCAGCACCGAAGCCUGCGGCAGGUUUGCUGUUAGGCAAUGUGGUGUGCGGGUCGGCUGGCGGGACCGCCGCUCCACUCGAAGUCCAGCAUUGAGUAUGGUGAUGAUGGAGGUAGAUGAUGGCCCACAGAGGGUGAGAGGCCCGUAGGAGUGGAGUGGUCCAGGCGUGUGAGGCGGUUCACCAGGUCGGCCUAA
rnacentral:rRNA from 1 species